AGAGUUUGAUCCUGGCUCAGGACGAACGCUGGCGGCGUGCCUAAUACAUGCAAGUAGAACGCUGAAGAGAGGAGCUUGCUCUUCUUGGAUGAGUUGCGAACGGGUGAGUAACGCGUAGGUAACCUGCCUUGUAGCGGGGGAUAACUAUUGGAAACGAUAGCUAAUACCGCAUAACAAUGGAUGACACAUGUCAUUUAUUUGAAAGGGGCAAUUGCUCCACUACAAGAUGGACCUGCGUUGUAUUAGCUAGUAGGUGAGGUAACGGCUCACCUAGGCGACGAUACAUAGCCGACCUGAGAGGGUGAUCGGCCACACUGGGACUGAGACACGGCCCAGACUCCUACGGGAGGCAGCAGUAGGGAAUCUUCGGCAAUGGGGGCAACCCUGACCGAGCAACGCCGCGUGAGUGAAGAAGGUUUUCGGAUCGUAAAGCUCUGUUGUAAGUCAAGAACGAGUGUGAGAGUGGAAAGUUCACACUGUGACGGUAGCUUACCAGAAAGGGACGGCUAACUACGUGCCAGCAGCCGCGGUAAUACGUAGGUCCCGAGCGUUGUCCGGAUUUAUUGGGCGUAAAGCGAGCGCAGGCGGUUUGAUAAGUCUGAAGUUAAAGGCUGUGGCUCAACCAUAGUUCGCUUUGGAAACUGUCAAACUUGAGUGCAGAAGGGGAGAGUGGAAUUCCAUGUGUAGCGGUGAAAUGCGUAGAUAUAUGGAGGAACACCGGUGGCGAAAGCGGCUCUCUGGUCUGUAACUGACGCUGAGGCUCGAAAGCGUGGGGAGCGAACAGGAUUAGAUACCCUGGUAGUCCACGCCGUAAACGAUGAGUGCUAGGUGUUGGAUCCUUUCCGGGAUUCAGUGCCGCAGCUAACGCAUUAAGCACUCCGCCUGGGGAGUACGACCGCAAGGUUGAAACUCAAAGGAAUUGACGGGGGCCCGCACAAGCAGUGGAGUAU
rnacentral:rRNA from 1 species